UACGUAGGGUGCGAGCGUUGUCCGGAAUUAUUGGGCGUAAAGAGCUCGUAGGCGGUUUGUCGCGUCGACUGUGAAAACCUGGGGCUUAACUCUGGGCCUGCAGUCGAUACGGGCAGACUUGAGUUCGGUAGGGGAGACUGGAAUUCCUGGUGUAGCGGUGAAAUGCGCAGAUAUCGGGAAGAACACCCGUGGCGAAGGCGGUUCUCUGGGACGGUACUGACGCUGAGGAGCGAAAGCUAGGGGAGCAAACGGG
rnacentral:rRNA from 1 species